GCUGGGCGUGGUGGCACAUGCCUGUAAUCCCAAAGGCUCAGGAGGCUGAGGCAGGAGGAUUGCAAAUUCAAAACCAGCCUCAGCAAAAAUGAAGUGCUAAGCAACUCGGUGAGACCCUGUCUCUA
rnacentral:sRNA from 1 species